rnacentral:rRNA from 1 species
UACGUAGGGGGCAAGCGUUGUCCGGAUUUAUUGGGCGUAAAGAGCGUGUAGGCGGCCAGGUAGGUCCGCUGUGAAAACUCGAGGCUUAACCUCGAGAUGUCGGUGGAAACCAUCUGGCUAGAGUCCGGAAGAGGAGAGUGGAAUUCCUGGUGUAGCGGUGAAAUGCGUAGAGAUCGGGAGGAACACCAGAGGCGAAAGCGGCGACCUGGACAAGUACUGACACUCAACUACGAAAGCGUGGGGAGCAAACAGG